AAAGAGAGAGAGAAGAGAAGAAAACAUAAAAAGGUUCAACAACGGGCUUCUAACCAUGCCGCAAAGGUCCAAUUCCCGGUCCGCCACGCUCCAUUUGCACAUUUCAACGUUGCCGUUUCUCACAUCGUUUCGCCUUCUCGAUUCCCGUGGCAACUACCUGCUCCUUUCUCUUCUUACCCUACCGAGACGCUCUUCCUCUUUCCGUUCUACUUCUAUCCCUCCUCUCUCCUCUCCCGCUUCCAUGGCAUCCCCUUCUCGCUCCUCCCCCGUCACCUUCUCCGGUGGCGCCGUAUCCGCCGGAGACGACUCCGACCGUCUCCCGCGCCUCCUCUUCGCCGCCCUCAAGGCCCGAAAAGGAGACAUGAAAAAGCGGCUUGGAACCGCUGACCUUUAUCAUUUUAUUGUUGCGGCUGUGUUGGUUUAUUACUGCGGAUGAGAUGGUGUAUGAUUUUUUGUAUAGAAGUCGUCAUGAUCUCCCCAGAGGCAUUAACUUGUCUACCAAACUCUCUUCACAGUGGCAUAUCUCAUGCACGAGUUGUUGACAUUUUCAACACUUAUCUGCAACCAUAAAGCCUUGGCUCAUUUGUAUACUUCUAAAAAUUCUGAGGAGUGCUCGUAUUUGCUUAACUACCACCAUAUCUCGAACUGCUGAUUGGUCAUCAUCUAGGUAGAAGCAUUUCCCAUUUAUGUGUAUAUGGCAUCCGUGCAAGUUUAAAUAUCUCCAAUUUUUAUCUUUGUUAAGUUAUCAACUUUAGACCAGAAAUCUUCCUUUCUGAUGGAUUUGAUUUGGUUACCUUGGAGGUAUCAAAUACUUCAAAGUAUUUUGAAAAGCAGCCUUCUACUUAGAUACAGGCAUUUGUUAAAAUAUGAGAUGCUGUUUCUCGUGUCAAGCUUGGUAAUAUACUCAUCUGUGUUGAUCAAAGUAAUGUAACUAUAGUUCUGUGCUCA